UGGGGAAUUUUGGACAAUGGGGGAAACCCUGAUCCAGCCAUCCCGCGUGUGCGAUGAAGGCCUUCGGUUGUAAACACUUUUGGCAAGGAAAGAAACGUCGCGGGUUAAUACCCCCGCGGAACUGACGGUACCUGCAGAAUAAGCACCGGCUAACUACGUGCCAGCAGCCGCGGUAAUACGUAGGGUGCAAGCGUUAAUCGGAAUUACUGGGCGUAAAGCGUGCGCAGGCGGUUCGGAAAGAAAGAUGUGAAAUCCCAGAGCUUAACUUUGGAACUGCAUUUUUUAACUACCGGGCUAGAGUGUGUCAGAGGGAGGUGGAAUUCCGCGUGUAGCAGUGAAAUGCGUAGAUAUGCGGAGGAACACCGAUGGCGAAGGCAGCCUCCUGGGAUAACACUGACGCUCAUGCACGAAAGCGUGGGGAGCAAACAGGAUUA
rnacentral:rRNA from 1 species